CCAAUAAAAUUGUGCCACGUGUAUACUGUGUACACGUAGACAUUCUAACCUGGCACUUAACAGCCAAAAAUGGAUGGAAAUGACUAAUUGCUAACGGACUAGUGGUUUAGGUAGUUUUACCACCAAAAUUUUAGAUUAAGGAAUUAGUUGCAAAAACUUAUCCACUUUAGGAGGUUUUGCCGCAAAUAACCCUUAUAUUUAUGCAUAGAUCAAUAUGGGUUUAUGAUUAUGUCAUUCUCAUCAUCCACUAUUCACCAAGCCAGUUGUAUCCAGCGUGGAUCCAAGUGGCUCAGCUGCCCAUCUACGUCUCAGGGGUAAAACCGUCCAGAAACAAAAAGUAUUUGAUGACAUCAUAAUUAAUUCCAAAGAUUACUAUUUAUUUAAUUAUUUUCUAUAUAAAAUGAUUCUGUAAAUUAAGACAGAAGGAACAGCCGUGAAUCUUCAACAACAACCACCCACCAUAGCCAUACCACAGGAAUAGCCAGUCUUGUUUGACAUUUUAUGGAUAUCAGAACACAUUGUGAGGAUGAGAUUUCAGAGGAUGUAACAAGAGCAUUGCUCAUUGCAAUUUCUUACUCUUUACCUGAAAAAAAGGCUUUGGAUUUGACCAAAUCAUCUGAUUCAUUCAAUGCCGUAGAAGGUGUCGCCAUGUUUAAUGGCGAUUUAAUCGAUUAUUAUCGGUCUGAACUGAUUUCCAUUUCCAAUUCGGAAUCUGGUGAUGUUUAAAAUCUGAGUACUAAACAGAUUGGGAUUCCAUCAACAUUUUCAAUUCAGAAAUCAUAAUGUAAUAUAGACAAUUCUUCUUCACUAUUAUUUGGAGAUGUAUUAUAAAUUACUUUAAAUUUCUUGUAAAGAAAGCUUUGGAGGAAGUUGAAUCUAAUUACCAUGGUUGAGGAUUCAAACACCUUCAUCUGUACAUAUUGUAUACAUUAUAUCAUACUGUAUAUAUAUAUAUAUAUAUAUUGAUGAAUAUUAUAUUGUAAUUGUUGUAUAUUGUGUGCCU